AGUGAACGCUGGCGGUAGGCCUAACACAUGCAAGUCGAACGGCAGCACAGUAAGAGCUUGCUCUUACGGGUGGCGAGUGGCGGGCGGGUGAGGAAUACAUCGGAAUCUACUUUUUCGUGGGGGAUAACGUAGGGAAACUUACGCUAAUACCGCAUACGACCUACGGGUGAAAGCAGGGGAUCUUCGGACCUUGCGCGAUUGAAUGAGCCGAUGUCGGAUUAGCUAGUUGGCGGGGUAAAGGCCCACCAAGGCGACGAUCCGUAGCUGGUCUGAGAGGAUGAUCAGCCACACUGGAACUGAGACACGGUCCAGACUCCUACGGGAGGCAGCAGUGGGGAAUAUUGGACAAAGGGCGCAAGCCUGAUCCAGCCAUACCGCGUGGGUGAAGAAGGCCUUCGGGUUGUAAAGCCCUUUUGUUGGGAAAGAAAAGCAGCAGGUUAAUACCCCGCUGUUCUGACGGUACCCAAAGAAUAAGCACCGGCUAACUUCGUG
rnacentral:rRNA from 1 species